rnacentral:rRNA from 1 species
GCAAGUCGAACGGGAUCCAGAAGCUUGCUUCUGGUGAGAGUGGCGAACGGGUGAGUAACACGUAGAUAAUCUGCCUUUUGGUUGGGGAUAGCCUAUGGAAACAUAGGGUAAUACCGAAUAAUGUCCUAUUAAGAUGUUAAAAGGAUGAAAGGUCCGUUUGGAUCGCCGAAAGAUGAGUCUGCGGCUUAUUAGCUAGUUGGUAGGGUAAGAGCCUACCAAGGCGACGAUAAGUAGCCGGCCUGAGAGGGUGACC